rnacentral:rRNA from 1 species
GACGAACGCUGGCGGCGUGCUUAACACAUGCAAGUCGAACGGGCCCGCCCCUGUUUUUGGGGGGGGGUUGAGUGGCGAACGGGUGAGUAUCACGUGAGUAACCUGCCCCCUGCUCCUGGAUAACUGCUUGAAAGGGCGGCUAAUACGGGGUGUGCCGGCUGGUCCGCAUGGGCCUGGUCGGGAUAGUUUCAUCUUCGGUUGUUUCGGUGGGGGAUGGGCUCGCGGCCUAUCAGCUUGUUGGUGGGGUGAUGGCCCACCAAGGCGUUGACGGGUAGCCGGCCUGAGAGGGUGGGCGGCCCAACUGGGAGUGAGACACGGCCCAGACUCCUGCGGGAGGCAGCAGUGGGGGGUAUUGGAGAAUGGGCGGAAGCCGGAUGCAGCGACGUCGCGUGAGGGAGGGAGGCCUUCGGGUGGUGAACCUCUUUCUCCGGGGGGGAAGGCCCUGUCCGUUGCGGCGGGGUUGACGGUAGCCGGGUAUGAAGCGCCGGCUAACUACGUG